GACGAACGCUGGCGGCGUGCUUAACACAUGCAAGUCGAACGGAAAGGCCCUGCUUUUGUGGGCUGCCGGGUGGCGAAAGGGGGGAGUAACAGGUGAGUAACCGGCCCUUGUUUUUGGGAUAACUUCAGGAAACGGGGCUUACUACCGGAUAGCAUCCCCUCUACCAUGGUGGGGGUGGGAACUUUUGGGCGGUGGGGGAUGGAUUCGCGGCUUAUCAGCUUGUUGGUGGGGUAGUGGCUUACCAAGGCUUUGACGGGUAGCCGGCCUGAGAGGGUGACCGGCGACAUUGGGACUGAGAUACGGCCCAGACUCCUACGGGAGGCAGCAGUGGGGAAUAUUGCACAAUGGGCGGAAGCCUGAUGCAGCAACGCCGCGUGCGGGAUGACGGCCUUCGGGUUGUAAACCGCUUUCGCCUGUGACGAAGCGUGAGUGACGGUAAUGGGUAAAGAAGCACCGGCUAACUACGUG
rnacentral:rRNA from 1 species